rnacentral:rRNA from 1 species
AAAAGACGAACAGCUCAGUAACUCUUAUUUUAUUUGAUGUAUUAGGAUUAUAACUAUGUUAAAUUAUAGAUAACAAUAAUACAAUAAGAAUAAGAUCUAUCAGUUAGUUGUUAAGGUAAUGGCUUAACAAGACUAUGACGGAUAACGGUAUUACUUUGUAAUAUUCCGGAGAAGGAGCCUGAGAGAUUGCUACUAAGUCUAAGGAUUGCAGCAGGGGCGAAACUUGACCUAUGAUAUGAUAUUGAGGCAGUUAUGAGUAGUAUUUUAUAAUUAUUGUAGUAUUGUAAGUAUAUACUACAAGAUAAAUCGGAGGGCAAAUCGAGUGCCAGCAGCCGCGGUAAUACUUGUUCCGAUAGUGUGUAUGAUGAUUGAUGCAGUUAAAAAGUCUGUAGUUUAUAUUUAAUAAACAUUGUGAGGUAUAUUGUAUGGUUAGGAGAGAGAUGAAAUGUGAUAACCCUAACUGGAUGAACAGAAGCGAAAGCUAUAUACUUAAAUGUAUUAUUAGAACAAGGACGUAAGCUAGAGGAUCGAAGAUGAUUAGAUACCAUUGUAGUUCUAGCAGUAAACUAUGUUGAAUCAUAGAUAUACAAAUUGUGUAUUUAUGUAAAGAAAUUAAGAUUAUAUUGACUCUGGGGAUAGUAUGAUCGCAAGAUUGAAAAUUAAAGAAAUUGACGGAAGAAUACCACAAGGAGUGGAUUGUGCGGCUUAAUUUGACUCAACGC